UACGUAGGGGGCUAGCGUUGUCCGGAUUUGUUGGGCGUAAAGAGCGUGUAGGCGGCCAGGUAGGUCUGCUGUGAAAACUCGAGGCUCAACCUCGAGACGUCGGCGGAAACCAUCUGGCUAGAGUCCGGAAGAGGAGAGUGGAAUUCCUGGUGUAGCGGUGAAAUGCGCAGAUAUCAGGAAGAACACCCGUGGCUAAGGCGGGUCUCUGGGCCGAUACUGACGCUGAGGAGCGAAAGCGUGGGGAGCGAACAGG
rnacentral:rRNA from 1 species